GUAAAGACACUGGCAGAGAGACCAGUAAAGACACUGGCAGAGAGACCAGUAAAGACACUGGCAGAGAGACCAGUAAAGACACUGGCAGAGAGACCAGUAAAGACACUGGCAGAGAGACCAGUAAAGACACUGGCAGAGAGACAAUAACAAAAGCUAGUCAAGAGACCCGAAAGGACAGCAGGAGCAGAGGGAAAGAUAAGGAGGCGGAAAAGAUAAUCAAGGAGAUGGAGACUGGCAAAAAAGAGACCAGUACAGAGACUCGCAAAAAGUUAGGGAGUAAGACUAGAAACAUGACAGUCCAUGAGACCAGCAAAGACACUGGGAAAAUGACCAGUACAGAGACUGUUAAGGAGACUGAGAGAGAGACUAGCACAGACAUGGAGAGAGAGACCUGUAGAGCUGUUAGUAUAGUGGCCAGUAGAAUCAGCAAUAGAGAAACCAAAAAAAAGCCAGAGACUUGUAAAACACCUGAAAAGAAGACCAAUACUCAGACUGUGAAAGAAAAAACUAAAGUGACUCCUCCCCCCAUCUCCCCUCCAACCACUAAUCUGUGGGAUUUCCUGAAGAGGCAGAACCGAGGAGCUGUGAUUGGUCUGAGUGCACUCAUCGAGUGCCACAGUCACGGCCAGCCCCCCCUCUACCUCUGCCAGGUGUGUGGGUGUAAAGUCUUCCAGAACGCCAUCAUCGUCCAUGUAACCACAGACUGCCACCGGCUUUCCUACCUGAGGUCGCUGAAGACAGUGGUUGUCCCCAAAGGGAACCAGCUCCAUAAGAAGUUGAGGAGAGCUGCCUUGAAGCUGGAGAGGACCAUGGGAUAUGGAGAGGCUGAGGUAACGGAGUUGGAUGCACACACUUACAAUUUUGUUGCAGAAAGAUCCUUUGCCAUUGGCCUGAACAUUGUAAUGAAGGUCAUAAAUGGUGACCCUUCACCUGACCCCCUACUGUUGGUCAGCCCUAAACCCCCUGACCCCUCACCCCAGGUCAGCCCUGACCCCUCACUCCAGGUGUCAGAGGUCAGCAACCCCACCAUGACCUCUACAGCUCUGUGGUCCUACCUGAAUGCCUCCACCAGGACACAGCCUGUCAUCGGUGUCAGUAUGUUGACAGAGUUGCCAGACAGACAUGGUGACUACUUCCUCUGCCGCUGCUGUUCUCACAGGAUGUUUACAUCAUCCCUCAUUGGACACCUAAUCUCUGCUCGACACCGCUACCACUACAUAAAACUAGUGUACCCUGAGCUGGCUGCUGAUUGGCCAGUGAGCCCAGAGCUGACGGUGAAGGCGGGGCCUCUUCAUGAGGAGCUGAGAGUGAGAGCUGCAGAACUGGAGGCACAGGAGGGACUAGGACAGCUCACGGUGGUAAAGAGAGAACCUGCUGCUGGAGACACAACCACUACCAAUACUGAAGGGACUGCCCAGCAGAGCCAGAACGGCUCACCUCCUCUCUCUGUGAAAGAGGAACCGGUUGACUCCACAGUACCAUCCCAGCCCCCUAGAGGAGAAAAGAGGAACAAGAGGAGGAGCAACCCUGUGGUUGGUGUGAACUUCCUGGUCCAGGUGUCCCACAGGAGAAGGAAACAGUACUACUGUCAGCUAUGUUCUGUCAGGAUGAAACACGCUAUUGCUGAUCACAUGACCAGCCUCAGCCACCGACACAACUAUGUGAGGUUGAAGUACCCUGGUUGGACCUCCAGCCCGGUAGAGAUGGAGAAGAAGCUGUUCAAAAUGGCCGUUCACCUGGAGAAGGUCGACAGAGACGCAGGAAUGGGCAUGCAGAAGGUAGAAGUGGAAGCUGAUGAGUACAAAGAGCUGUUGUCCUUUCCUGUGGAGGAAGGUGUCAGUAAACUGCAAGCCAUCAUCAGACGGCAACAAGAGCCAUGCGAUCUGAGACACACAGCUCCCUCGACCAAUCACAACCCAGAGGAUCUGAGACAGACAGCUCCCUUGUCCAAUCCCGAUGCAGCCCAAUGUCCAGCUCAAGGUAUGUGUGGGGCAGAGUCACGUGAGACCGAGGGAGUGUGUCCUCUCCCUGUCAGUCUAUCAGAGGAGGAGAAUGACCAGACGCUCCUGGUUCAGAUCUCAAUGUUUUUGGGAGAAGACCAGGAACCCCUACAAGUACCUUCCCGUUCCUCCAGGAUCAGCCACCCCUUAUUUCCAUCCCUCUCCCACUCUCUACACCUCACCCUAUCCCCCUCUCUUCCUCAAUCCCCCUCCCUCUCUCCCUCAAACCCCUUUUCUACCUCUCUUUCCACAGUUGUCCUAUCUACCUCACCCUCCCUCUCUUCCUCCAUACCAUCCCACACCCCCUCGUUGUCCACAGAGAAGACAACACACCCCUCCCCUGUCUCUGUCCCUGUUCCUGCACCUCUCUCAGCUCUGAGGAGCUCAACACAUUUGAAGGACUGGGAGACUUCUCUGAGUCCAGAGUGGUGGGAGAGGAAGAGCCCAGAAUGCAGAGAGACACAGACGCUUCUAGAAAUACCAGACAGACACACUCUUCUGGAAUACUCGGGCAGAGACAGACAGAUUGAAUACUCAGCGACAGACCGACAGACUGCAUACACUGAGAGAAACCGACAGACUCAUCUAGAAUACUCUGAGAGAGACAGACGGGCAGACUACUCAGAGAGAGACAGACGGGCAGACUACUCAGAGAGAGACAGACGGGCGGACUACUCGGAGAGAGACAGACGGGCGGACUGCUCGGAGAGAGGCAGACGGGCGGACUACUCCGAGGGAGGCAGACGGGCGGACUACUCCGAGGGAGGCAGACGGGCGGACUACUCCGAGGGAGGCAGACGGGCGGACUACUCCGAGGGAGGCAGACGGGCGGACUACUCCGAGGGAGGCAGACAGGCGGACUACUCCGAGGGAGGCAGACAGGCGGACUACUCCGAGGGAGGCAGACAGGCGGACUACUCCGAGGGAGGCAGACAGGCGGACUACUCCGAGGGAGGCAGACAGGCGGACUACUCCGAGGGAGGCAGACAGGCGGACUACUCCGAGGGAGGCAGACAGGCGGACUACUCCGAGGGAGGCAGACAGGCGGACUACUCCGAGGAGGCAGACAGGCGGACUACUCCGAGGGAGGCAGACAGGCGGACUACUCCGAGGGAGGCAGACAGGCGGACUACUCCGAGGGAGGCAGACAGGCGGACUACUCCGAGGGAGGCAGACAGGCGGACUACUCCGAGGGAGGCAGACAGGCGGACUACUCCGAGGGAGGCAGACAGGCGGACUACUCCGAGGGAGGCAGACAGGCGGACUACUCCGAGGGAGGCAGACAGGCGGACUACUCUGAGGGGGAACUGGACGAAGACCAAGAACACACACAUCAUCACAGUGAACACACACAUCAGCACAGUGAACACACACAUCAGCACAGUGAACACACACACUUCGAGCAGGCCCCAGCAAGCUGGCUCAGUGUUCCACAGGUGUAUCUGCUGCCGGACACACCCGCAGCAAAGAGGGUUGUCGGCCCCAGCCACCUGUCCAAAUACCUGAAAGUGAAGGGCCUUCACAACACAGAACCGAUCAUAGGUCUGGGCAGUGUGGUGGAGUGUAGAGGUAUAUCCCAGGCUACGUUUUUCAUGUGUGUGAGCUGUGCUGAGACUCUCUCCAGUACACACAUCUGUGAACACAUCAUCAGCGCGCAACACCAGCAGUGCUACAUGUUUUCCCAGUAUAGUCCUAUGCGCUGUGAUUGGUUGAGAGAGCAGCAGCAGCCUCCGAGUCCACAGCUCCUCAGGAAGGUUGCUUCAGCACUGUCACAACUGGAGGUGGAUCUAGAUGCACAGGUGAUGCUGCUGGAUCAGAUGUGGUAUAACCUUGUGAAGUCAGCUCCAUUCUACGAAGCCAUGUACAUGCUGCAGGAACAGAAUCAGAAUGCCCUGUGUCUACACACAGCAAGCAGACAUCAGCUUUUUCCCCCAGUUGGUCCUGACCCAGCAACGGAGCAGGGCUUUGACCAGAACCACAGAGUGAUGGAUAAACUGACCAUGGAUCAGAUUGAGCCCCAUCACCCCCUGCAGACAGCAGAUACAGUGGCUGGUAAACUGACUGGAGAUCAGCUGGAGUCAGGCCAGUGCAUACAGACCGCAGACAGACGGCCAGAUAAUCAGAACCCGGAUCAGCCCCAGUGGAGCCAGAGCUCAGAGAGAACAGAGAUGGUCCCUGAGCCAAUAAGAGCCAAGACACCACAUAAUUCUGAGCCAAUCAGAGACCAGACACCACAGAACAUUGAGCCAAUCAGAGCCAAGACGUCAAAGAAUUCUGACCCAAUAAAAUUCCAGACACCACAGAACACUGGGCCAAAAAGAGCCUGGAUGCCACAGAACUCCUCAGAACCACAUCUGGACCAAGACAACACAGUCAUUGUCAAACAGGAGCCUGUGGACCCCAAGGUGGAACCUCAGCCCCAUCCUCAUACCCAGCCUGAGGUGGACCCCUUAAAGGGUAGGAAGCACGAGUUUCUACUGACCAAUGUCAGUAGAAUGACCAACAACACAGUGUGGUCAAAGACAUAGUAACUUAGUUGUAAUUACAAGCUGGUACUUACAUAGUUCUGUUUUUGGGUUAUUACGUAUUUAUUAACCGCUGUAGUCCUCUCCUCUGUCAGAUUCCCUGUAUGGACACAGAGUCCAGUUCUCCCCAGAUGUACAGAACCUGGCUGGUGUGUGUGAGGUGGAGUACCAGGGGACCGUCCUAGCACACAGCCAAGAGGUGACACGAAUAGGAGGGGCCACAGAGAACUCCCUUCAACCCACCAAGAACUUGAGAGACUCCGUCAACAACAGCUUGCCUUUGGUCGGUCUCAGUGCAAUGAUAGAGUGUUGCAGUGAGGGCCAGGUGUCCUUCUACCUGUGUGUGUCGUGUGGCAGCAAAAUUGAAAAAACUCUACUCAUCAGCCACGUCCUCAAAUACAGACACCGACAGCUGUACCUGACAAUGAGGUACCCGUGGUAUUUCCUUGGUGUGGUACCAGCCCGAGGGUUGGCAGAACAGUCCAGACUGAUGCAGAUUGCUAAGGAGGUGGAGGAGCAGAACCAUGAUGAGCCUGGCACGCUACAGGAGGUGAUUCUGGCCCCUGCUGACUUUGCCGAGAUCAAACGGAUGCUGUUUGAUAAAGCUGUAUCCCGUUUGCAGGAGAUCUGUAGAGAGCAGAACCAGACUGAACUCCUCACCAUGGUCACCAGCAAACCUGAACCAAUAGUGGUCAAGCAGGAGAUUGUGGAGUGCCAGGUGGUCUCCCAUCAGGCCUUGGGGCUAUUCCUACCGCCACAGAGAUGUAGGAGAAACACGGGAAAACGUUGUUCUAACGUUGAGGGGUCAGAGGUGAGGGGUCAGCAGCAGGUGAAGAAGAGAAAGGUGUCCAGCCCCCCUGAGGGUCACACUGCCCCUGUCAUCUGUCUAUCAUCUCCUGAAGUCAUCAAGUCUUCUGAAACACACACUGUCAACCAGACACACAUCAUCACACCCUCACCCACACAAUCCAACACUAAGCCGAAACUCACAUACACACACUCUGACUCUCAAACUAAACUUAAACCUUCACGCACACACCCCAAACCCAGUUCAACAGCCCCAGAAUAUACUAGACCCAAACUCAUUCCCCAUUCUGCCACCAAGCCCUCCGGUAUCCCUGCCGACAGCCUGACUGUUGCCAAAGAGUCCUCUAGCAAGAAAGCCACUCACACACUGUGCAAACCCACACACACACUGUCCAAUAGCCAGAAGCUCACUGACAAACAUUCGGACAAGAAUGAGUCUCAGAAACAUACUGAAAAGGCUAAACCUACUCGCACACACAGUGAACGCACACACAGAAACCGCACACACACUCGCAAACACAGUGACCUCACACGCACUGACAAAGCCAAAGACGGACACAGUGACAAGACCAAACGCAGACACAGUGACCGCAAACACACUAACAGACAUUCUGACCACUCACGCUGUCACACCAGCUCUAAGAGACAUAAUCGUAGCUCCAGCCGUUCCUCCAAAGCCUCCCCCAGAGCUAGUCCCUCUGAGCCCCCUGCUCUCCCCCUACUCCCCGCUGCAUUCUCCCCCACCAGAGCCACUUCUGCGGCGAGCCUAAGCCAGGUCAAACCCAGCCAACCUUCCUGCCUAGUCAACAAACAACUACCCAAACAGUCCAGCCAACCAACCAAGAGACCUCCCAACCCAACCUCAGCAGUCAGACCUCUCCAGACCCAGGCCAACCCUCCCAACAACACCUCUUACCCCCACCUGCACCCAGAAAGAACCGGACCCAUGACCCCCCACUCGGACCCAUGACCCCCCACCCGGACCCAUGACCCCCCAACCCCCGGCAAUCCCUCCCUGCCUCACUCCUCCACCUCCACCCCAGCCAGGUCCUGUCUACGCCUCUGGGGUUAAGAAGAAGACUUCCAUUGUAGACUGUGAUCAAUUUGUGGAAUACUUUGUCUCUUUGUUGCGCUCCCCCCACUUUCCUCCUGCCCUAACCACCCCAGAGAGUGCAGAGAGCGCUGAGGCUCAUACCAGGGCAACAGGCCCUAACCCUGGAGGGGAGAAGAUGAGGGGUGACUCAAAAGGUCAUGCCAUCGCCAUAGUGGCGGCAUUACCCAACCCGCUAAAAAGGAAGCUAUCCCUACAGGAACCCGAGGACAGAGACCCCUGGAACUACGAGAGCCGACAGUUCACUCCCAACUCCAAACCUAACCCCAACUUCAAACCUAACCCAAACUUCCAGAACCCUGACUCCAAACCUAACCACAACUUCCAGAACCCUGACUCCAAACCUAACCACAACUUCCAGAACCCUAACUCCAAACCUAACCACAACUUCCAGAACCCUAACUCCAAACCUAACCACAACUUCCAAAACCCUAACCCUAAACCUAACCCCAACUUCCAGAACCCUAACUCUAACCCCAACUUCCAGAACCCUAACUCCAACUCUAACCCCAACUUCCAGAGUUAUACCCCCACUACCAAUGCCACACUAGCCCAGGGGGGUUACACUGGAGGGGUUACCGUUUCUUCUAGCCCUAACCCCACUGACCCACAGCCCCCAGAGAUUCUACCUGGUUACACCUACCCUGGUUACACCUACGCUGGUUACACCUACCCUGGUUACACCUACCCUGGUUCAGGUUACGCUGGAGUUGUCAGUGUUAGUCAGUUCACUUCCAACUCCCCCAUUAACCCUAUCCCCAGCCCCAGUAACACACAGUCACAGCCACAGGCAAGGUGGUCUGGGGGCAACUGGGGAACAGGCUACCCAGGGGCAGGCUAUGUUACAACAGGUCUAGCUGGUACUUCCUACCCUGGAGCUGUCUCUUCUGGAAGUGGACCUGGCUACCCUGGAGUUCUGCUCUACCCAGAGAUGGGCUACUCAGACAUGGACUGCCGUGGACAGGCUUACCCUAGGUCUGGGACUGGACUCGGCUCUACUGGGACUGUUAUGCCCCCAGGAAGCCUCUACUCUACCACACCAUCUCCAGCCAACCCCAGCUAUUUGGCCUUGACCCAGCCAUCACUUGACCCAGCCAGCUACUCCGCCUGGACUGCUACUGACACCGGGGUUGCCAUUGAAACCAGCACAGCAG
ensembl:lncRNA